UACGUAGGGCGCAAGCGUUGUCCGGAAUUAUUGGGCGUAAAGAGCUCGUAGGCGGCUUGUUGCGUCGGUUGUGAAAGCCCGGGGCUUAACCCCGGGUCUGCAGUCGAUACGGGCAGGCUAGAGUGUGGUAGGGGAGAUCGGAAUUCCUGGUGUAGCGGUGAAAUGCGCAGAUAUCAGGAGGAACACCGGUGGCGAAGGCGGAUCUCUGGGCCAUUCCUGACGCUGAGGAGCGAAAGCGUGGGGAGCGAACAGG
rnacentral:rRNA from 1 species